CCUACGGGAGGCAGCAGUGAGGAAUAUUGGUCAAUGGCCGUAAGGCUGAACCAGCCAAGUCGCGUGAAGGAAGAAGGAUCUAUGGUUUGUAAACUUCUUUUAUAGGGGAAUAAAGGUAUCCACGUGUGGAUAUUUGCAUGUACCCUAUGAAUAAGCAUCGGCUAACUCCGUGCCAGCAGCCGCGGUAAUACGGAGGAUGCGAGCGUUAUCCGGAUUUAUUGGGUUUAAAGGGUGCGCAGGCGGUCUGUUAAGUCAGCGGUCAAAGCCCGGGGCUCAACCCCGGCCCGCCGUUGAAACUGGCAGUCUCGAGUUGGAGAGAAGUAUGCGGAAUGCGCGGUGUAGCGGUGAAAUGCAUAGAUAUCGCGCAGAACUCCGAUUGCGAAGGCAGCAUGCCGGCUCCACACUGACGCUGAGGCACGAAAGCGUGGGUAUCGAACAGGAUUAGAUACCCGAGUAGUC
rnacentral:rRNA from 1 species